UACGUAGGAGGCAAGCGUUGUCCGGAAUUACUGGGCGUAAAGCGCGUGUAGGCGGUCUGAAUAGUCUGCUGUGAAAGCGCCUGGCUUAACCGGGCGAGGUCGGCGGAAACUCUCAGACUGGAGGCCGGUAGAGGGGGGUGGAAUUCCCGGUGUAGUGGUGAAAUGCGUAGAUAUCGGGAGGAACACCUGUGGCGAAAGCGGCCCUGGACCGUGCCAGC
rnacentral:rRNA from 1 species